AUUGAACGCUGGAGGUAGGCUUAACACAUGAAAGUCGAGCGAGCGGCGGACGGGUGAGUAAAGGCUGGGAGACUGCCUGAUGGAGGGGGAUAACUACUGGAAACGGUAGCCAAUACCGCAUACCAUCAGAUGUGCCCAGAUGGGAUUCGCUAGUAGGUGGGGUAAUGGCUCAACUAGGCGAAGAUCCCUAGCUGGUCUGAGAGGAUGACCAUCCACACUGUAACUUAGACACGGUCCAGACUCCUACUGGAGGCAGCAGUGGGGCAUAUUGCGCAAUGGGCUCAAGCCUGGUGCAGCCAUGCGGCGUGUGUGAAGAAGGCCUUCGGGCUGUAAAGCACUUUCAGCGAGGAGGCGUUACUCGCAGAAGAAGCACCGGCUAACUCCGUGCCAGCAGCCGCGGUAAUAC
rnacentral:rRNA from 1 species